GACGAACGCUGGCGGCGUGCCUAAUACAUGCAAGUAGAACGCUGAAGGAGGAGCUUGCUCUUCUGGAUGAGUUGCGAACGGGUGAGUAACGCGUAGGUAACCUGCCUGGUAGCGGGGGAUAACUAUUGGAAACGAUAGCUAAUACCGCAUAACAGUAGAUGUUGCAUGACAUUUGCUUAAAAGGUGCAAUUGCAUCACUACCAGAUGGACCUGCGUUGUAUUAGCUAGUUGGUGGGGUAACGGCUCACCAAGGCGACGAUACAUAGCCGACCUGAGAGGGUGAUCGGCCACACUGGGACUGAGACACGGCCCAGACUCCUACGGGAGGCAGCAGUAGGGAAUCUUCGGCAAUGGACGGAAGUCUGACCGAGCAACGCCGCGGGAGUGAAGAAGGUUUUCGGAUCGUAAAGCUCUGUUGUAAGAGAAGAACGAGUGUGAGAGUGGAAAGUUCACACUGUGACGGUAGCUUACCAGAAAGGGACGGCUAACUACGUG
rnacentral:rRNA from 1 species